rnacentral:rRNA from 1 species
GACGAACGCUGGCGGCGUGCUUAACUCAUGCAAGUCGAACGAAGAGCGAUGGAAGCUUGCUUCUAUCAAUCUUAGUGGCGAACGGGUGAGUAACGCGUAAUCAACCUGCCCUUCAGAGGGGGACAACAGUUGGAAACGACUGCUAAUACCGCAUACGAUCUGACCUCGGCAUCGAGGAUAGAUGAAAGGUGGCCUCUACAUGUAAGCUAUCACUGAAGGAGGGGAUUGCGUCUGAUUAGCUAGUUGGAGGGGUAACGGCCCACCAAGGCGAUGAUCAGUAGCCGGUCUGAGAGGAUGAACGGCCACAUUGGGACUGAGACACGGCCCAGACUCCUACGGGAGGCAGCAGUGGGGAAUCUUCCGCAAUGGACGAAAGUCUGACGGAGCAACGCCGCGUGAGUGAUGACGGCCUUCGGGUUGUAAAGCUCUGUUAAUCGGGACGAAAGGCCUUUUUGCGAAUAGUGAGAAGGAUUGACGGUACCGGAAUAGAAAGCCACGGCUAACUACGUG